UUCCGCGACCUUUAGUCAUUUCAGUCUCGUCUCUCACCCUCUCUUUCUUCUCUUCUCUGGGCCGCCUCUCUUUCUUCUCUUCUCUGUCAAUUUCUCUUCAUCAAGAAGGACUAGAUCGAUGUCCAAGGAGCAGAUCGGGUUGAUGAGUCAUCGGGUUUCAUUUGAAAUCCAAGUAUGGUGCCAUGGUGGUUGACGUCUGAGCACGACCUUCGCCGCCGCCGAAAGAAGAACCAAAUGGAUUUAUUUUCUGAGAUUUUGGGUAUGACGAUGCAUGAAGACUCGUGCUUGAUCAGGAUCUCAAUGGGGUGAGCUUUACACACUGCUAUUACUACUUCGCCUAUCUUUGUUUGUUUUUUUUUUUUUGAAUCUUUGUUAUCUAGUUUUGAUGUGAUUGUUUUUUGUUUCACUCUUGCUUGAGUGUGGAGUUGAUAUUAAUCUCAGGAACUAUCAAAAGCAAAGCAAAGCUAUGUCCGAUGCUCUCGGUCAAUUCUCAGGGAAGAAGCCCGUAGGGCUGGAUUGCACCAGCUGGCUUUUUGUGGUUCGUGAGGUACUGAGAUUUGACCUUUAUGGGAAAGACUACUUCAUUGUCAUGAAUGCUUCAGAGAUCACUGACAAACUUGGUCUCCACACUUUCGUCAACGCCAAUGGUACUUUGAUUAAUACUUAUACCCCCCCCCCCCCCCCUCCUUUUCCAUAUAUGUGCACACGAUGAAAUAAAAAGCAUACAGAUCGCGAGGGCUGCAGUUUCUGCUUACUGGAUGUUGUCCUAUUUGAGUGCAUGCCUUGGGUGGGGUUUCAACCAUGUCCAGCUUCCAACCACUAAUGAAUUUUAUAGUGCUGGGAAAGCUAUGUUUGGCUGUUCUGAGGGCAGGAGGUGAUAUUGGGGAAGAAUGGUGUGGUGAAUGUUUUGGAAUUGGGUCCUCUCUCAAGACUUUGAGAAGGAAGGAUUUGAAUUAUUGAAGCCUGGCAUUGGAACCAUUCUUAUACCCAUCUAAAUUUUGCUCGUGUUGGUGUUGUA